rnacentral:rRNA from 1 species
GACGAACGCUGGCGGCGUGCUUAACGCAUGCAAGUCGAACGGAAAGGCCUCUUUCGGGGGGUACUCGAGUGGCGAACGGGUGAGUAACACGUGAGUAACCUGCCCUUGACUUUGGGAUAACUUCAGGAAACUGGGGCUAAUACCGGAUAGGAGCUCCUGCUGCAUGGUGGGGGUUGGAAAGUUUCGGCGGUUGGGGAUGGACUCGCGGCUUAUCAGCUUGUUGGUGGGGUAGUGGCUUACCAGGGCUUUGACGGGUAGCCGGCCUGAGAGGGUGACCGGCCACAUUGGGACUGAGAUACGGCCCAGACUCCUACGGGAGGCAGCAGUGGGGAAUAUUGCACAAUGGGUGGAAGCCUGAUGCAGCAACGCCGUGUGCGGGAUGACGGCCUUCGGGUUGUAAACCGCUUUCGCUCAUGACGAAGCUUUGUGUGACGGUAGUGGGUAAAGAAGCACCGGCUAACUACGUG